UCUAAAACUUGCCAUGUCAGUCUAACUCAGUCGAAUUUUGGAUCACCAUUAGUACUCGAUAACCAAUUUAAAUGGGAAAAUUUAAAGGGUUAUUCUUGAAAUUCCUUUUGGAGGUGAAAGCAUUUUGCUGUUAUUCAUAAUUUGUAAUGCAGUAAAUUAUGCAUGGUUAUAUUUGUAUUUGAAUUAUUGUUCCUGAAGUUUUUCAGCUUAGUUUGGAAGAAAACCUUCAUGGUACAUUGUUCAGCUCUAUUGAAUAAAUUGCAGGUAGAUUGGAUUUAAUCUUCCAGUUGCUGAUCUUUUCCAUCAUUUGUGUUGUUAGGGAAAAAAGAUCAUGUUGUCCUCAGUUGGGAUCAGAGAUAUAAGAUUGCUAUCAAUGUAUCUGAGGCACUUGAUUAUCUACAUAGCCGUAGUGCUUAGUCUGUUAUCCAUAGGGAUGUGAAAUCAUCGAACCUCCUUCUGGUCGAUGAUUUUGAGCCACAGAAUACAAAUGACCAUAUCGCUUGGGACUGGGAGUGAUGAAGUGCAAGUGCAAAAUGCAGUACCCUUGUAUGUUCUGUUGGCAAAGCCUGUUUCUGAUAUUACAGUUUCAGAGCAUUCUGCAGUUUAUCAGCUCAGGAGGACAUGCAUUCUGAAAGCUUUCUCUGAGUUUGGGAGUGGAGAUAAAAAAGAAGCCACCUUUGUUAUUCCUGAGCUUAGGAAGUUGUCAGCUGAUGGCAAAGCUGGCAAUCUCACCGUCUUACUUUUUCUUCAGGGGAAGCUGCAAUUACUUCCAGUGAAAGUGAUCUACUCAAAGACCAAUUCGAUCUGGCAUCUUUUCCAUGUGGAGUAACAUCGAUGAACGCCUUCUUGAUAAAGUUCUUCCCAGUUGUCUAUUGAAAGACCAAAGAUCCUGGUAUGGACAGCAAUUACUGCAAAUACGACAACCACGGCCUUCAGCUAUUCACAUUAUCGUUGUAUCUGGCCGGCUUGACUUCAACCUUCUUCACAUCCUACACCACAAGAAACCUCGGUCGGAGGCUGACCAUGCUCAUUGCAGGGAUUUUCUUCAUCAUUGGCGUGGUGCUAAAUGCAGCUGCCCAGAACCUUGCCAUGCUCAUUAUAGGAAGGAUCUUCCUGGGGUGUGGAGUCGGCUUCGCUAAUCAGUGUCAUUACUAAGAUCAAGAUUCACGGAUUUUUGGUGCAACAUAAUAUCUAUAAGUUCAGCUGCACAGUAUCCGUUCCUUGGUAGUUCAGCUAAUUUGAAUCUGCAACAACAAGUUGCUGGAAAUAGCAGCUAUGCUGACGUUGAAUUCAUCCAUCCUGUGAUUAUGGCCGUUAGCAGAGGAAAGCUUCCACUGCUGAUGACGCACCAGAACUCUUCCAACUACAGCUCCAACAUGUUGGCUGAUUUCUCUGAGAUGGACCAGAGGCUUCAGUUGUUGAAGUCAAGAUCUAGCAAUCUGAAUUAGAAUCCAAUGAUGACGGUUGAUCAAAGCUUCAGUUGUUGAAUUCUUUUUUCUUUUUCUUUUUUUCCCCAGAUUUCUAUUCCAAAUAGAAACUAAAAUUUCAAUUUGAAAAGUGGGUGUGAUUCUCAUGUUUUUCUCCAUGAGUUAUUACCUUAUGAGAACAAAAAUGCAAGCCAUUUGAUCAAUGGCCACUGAA